rnacentral:tRNA from 1 species
GGAGAGAUGGCCGAGUGGACGAAGGCGCUCGCCUGCUAAGCGAGCGUGGGGUUAAAAGCCCCACCGUGGGUUCGAAUCCCACUCUCUCCGCCA